GUUGAGGAGAUGGUUACAGAGAACAGUCUCAUGUAAAAAGCCAAUCUUGAUGAUAUGGGCAUGGAGGGAUUUGCCAGCUGGGAGAGAAUUUUGGGCUAUCGAAGAUUUAAUGGCCGAUGCAAUCAAAGAAUAGGAGGGGAACAGUUUCUUCUAUUUAACUAGCAAAUUCCAGUUGCAAGGAUUAAUUCCAAAAGAAAUAUGCAGUAACCAGAAAGCUUGGGAUAAAUUUUGAAAGGCAUAAAAAAAACUUCUAAAUCAAAGACCUAGAACAUAAAAAAAGACUUAUAGUCAUAAGAAAAUAAAUAGAUGGCUGCAAUCCAAGUAUGAAAACAAGAUCAAUAAUGUAAACUACCAACCAGAAAUUAUACAAAUAAAACAAAAGCAUUGUCCUUGCUAUUUAUAAAGAAUCAAACCUGAGAUUCAUCACCUUUGCUAACACUCUCUAACUUUCGAGGCCAACCAAGGUUCCCCUCCAUUCCACCCUCUCUAUUUCUUGUAUCCACCCUCUGGCUCAAACCUCACCUCCUCGUCCUCUCCUCCGCCACAACCGCCUCUUAAUCCCACCAAAACCCUCCCCUCCUCUCCUCUCUCUUGCUCGCCUCUUCUCCUCCUCCUACAGCCUCCAACCCCAUCGUCGUCGUCUUCCUCCCGUCCCUUCCCCCCCCUCUCUGCCCUCCGCGGUG
rnacentral:lncRNA from 1 species